rnacentral:rRNA from 1 species
CGUUCGAGUUUCUGACCUAUCAGCUCCCGUCGGUAGGGUAUUGGCCUACCGAGGCUGUGACUGGUAACGGGGAAUUAGGGUUCGAUUCCGGAGAGGGAGCCUGAGAAACGGCUACCACAUCUAAGGAUGGCAGCAGGCGCGCAAAUUACCCAAUCCCGACACGGGGAGGUAGUGACCAGAAAUAGCAACGCAGGGCAUUGCUCUGUGACUGCAAUGAGCGGAAAGCAAAACUGUUUGCGAGAACCUAUUGGAGGGCAAGUCUGGUGCCAGCAGCCGCGGUAAUUCCAGCUCCAAUAGCGUAUAUUAAAAUUGCUGCAGUUAAAGCGUCCGUAGUUGGAUUUCGUCCAAUCAGGUAGGAUGCGUGGGUACUUGUACUCUACGCGCUUUCCGCUUUGGACUAUGGGAGUACGAGGUGCUUCGGUGCCCUGUUCUCUCUCGUUACUGUGAGCAAAUUGGAGUGCUCCAACCAAGCCGAUGCUUGAACAGCUCAGCAUGGAAUAACAAGAUAGGACCUUGGUUCUUCUUGCUGGUGUCAUGGACCAAUAGUAAUGGUUGAUAAGGACAUACGGGGGCAUUUGUACUUGCUGGAGAGAGGUGAAAUUCUAAGACCCAGCAAAGACAAACAAGUGCGAAGGCAUUUGCCCAGUGUGUACCUGUUAAUCAAGGACGAAAGUUGGGGGAUCGAAGACGAUUAGAUACCGUCGUAGUCCCAACUAUAAACUAUGCCGA